rnacentral:rRNA from 1 species
UGGGGAAUAUUGCACAAUGGGGGAAACCCUGAUGCAGCGACGCCGCGUGAACGAAGAAGGUAUUCGUAUCGUAAAGUUCUGUCCUAUGGGAAGAUAAUUACAGUACCAUAGAAGAAAGCUCCGGCUAAAUACGUGCCAGCAGCCGCGGUAAUACGUAUGGAGCGAGCGUUUUCCGGAAUUAUUGGGCGUAAAGGGUACGCAGGCGGUUUAAUAAGUCGAAUGUUAAAGAUCGGGGCUCAACCCCGCAAAGCAUUGGAAACUGAUAAACUUGAGUAGUGGAGAGGAAAGUGGAAUUCCUAGUGUAGUGGUGAAAUACGUAGAUAUUAGGAGGAAUACCAGUAGCGAAGGCGACUUUCUGGACACAAACUGACGCUGAGGUACGAAAGCGUGGGGAGCAAACAGG